rnacentral:rRNA from 1 species
AUUGAACGCUGGCGGCAGGCCUAACACAUGCAAGUCGAGCGGAUGAAGGGUGCUUGCUCCUGGAUUCAGCGGCGGACGGGUGAGUAAUGCCUAGGAAUCUGCCUGGUAGCGGGGGAUAACGUCCGGAAACGGGCGCUCAUACCGCAUUAGUCCUGAGGGCGAACGUGGGGGAUCUUCGGACCUUAGGCUAUCAGACGAGCCUAGGUCGGAUUAGCUAGUUGGUGGGGUAAAGGCCUACCAAGGCGACGAUCCGUAACUGGUCUGAGAGGAUGAUCAGUCACACUGGAACUGAGACACGGUCCAGACGCCUACGGGAGGAAGCAGUGGGGAAUAUUGGACAAUGGGCGAAAGCCUGAUCCAGCCAUGCCGCGUGUGUGAAGAAGGUCUUCGGAUUGUAAAGCACUUUAAGUUGGGAGGAAGGGCAGUAGGUUAAUACCUUGCUGUUUUGACGUUACCAACAGAAUAAGCACCGGCUAACUUCGUG